rnacentral:lncRNA from 1 species
CAAUUUAGAACGUUAGCACGGGUGACAUAUUUUCACAUUUAAUUUGAAAUAUAAAUUCGGUGUUCUAUUAAUAUAAGUUGCAUCUUUGUUAAAAAAUUCUCAGAUUAAGAAUGGUCAUGGUAUAACAAAAUCACACGUAUUUUCAAUUCAUGCUCUGUAUCAGCAUUGUAUUACCCUUCCAAAUCAAAAUAAAAAAAAAACCAAAACAAAACAAAAAUAAACCAAAAAUCGUCUUUAUCUUUAAACGGAAUGCUCAAAUCAUCAAAAAGAAAACAACAACGAUACAAUGUAUAUAUCGAAAAGGGACCUUACUGCUAUUAUUCUGUGGUUACAUGUAGUAGCGACUUUUAUGUUACUCAUUUGUUCGUUUCACAGAAAUGAGUGUUCUUGUGUUUGUCAUGUUUGUUUGUGCUGUAUU